AUGAAGUGCAUUUUUCACUGUUUAUGUCUAAUGCUUGAUCGUCCGUCUUAUUUAAAAAAGUUUUGUGAUUAUUAUUUUUAUUGUUAUUAGAUAAUAAAAUAUAAAUAAUACUUUAUGUGUGACUAUUUUUAAAGAAAAUCAUAAAAUUUUCAUGUAAGAUGAAAAGUACACUCGUUGGAAACAAAAAUUCACCAAUGUAGUUAUA
rnacentral:pre_miRNA from 1 species